rnacentral:rRNA from 1 species
AUUGAACACUGGCGGCAUGCCUUACACAUGCAAGUCGAACGGCAGCACGGGGCAACCUGGUGGCGAGUGGCGAACGGGUGAGUAAUGCAUCGGAACGUACCUUUCAGUGGGGGAUAACGUAGCGAAAGUUACGCUAAUACCGCAUAUUCUGUGAGCAGGAAAGCAGGGGAUCGCAAGACCUUGCGCUGAUUGAGCGGCCGAUGUCAGAUUAGCUAGUUGGUGAGGUAAAGGCUCACCAAGGCGACGAUCUGUAGCGGGUCUGAGAGGAUGAUCCGCCACACUGGAACUGAGACAAGGUCCAGACUCCUGCGGGAGGCAGCGGUGGGGAAUUUUGGACAAUGGGGGCAACCCUGAUCCAGCCAUGCCGCGUGAGUGAAGAAGGCCUUCGGGUUGUAAAGCUCUUUCGGCCGGGAAGAAAUCGCACGGGCUAAUACCCUGUGUGGAUGACGGUACCGGAAUAAGAAGCACCGGCUAACUACGUGCCAGCAGCCGCGGUAAUAC